rnacentral:piRNA from 1 species
AAUAAUUCUGGGAUUUGAGAGGA